GACGAACGCUGGCGGCGUGCUUAACACAUGCAAGUCGAACGAAGUGGCGAACGGGUGAGUAACGCGUAAUCAACCUGCCCUUCAGAGGGGGAUCACAGUUGGAAACGACUGCUAAUAACGCAUACUGAAGGAGGGGAUUGCGUCUGAUGCGCUAGUUGGAGGGGUAACGGCCCACCAAGGCGAUGAUCAGGAGCCGGUCAGAGAGGAUGAACGUCAACAUGGGGACUGAGACACGGCCCAGACUCCUACGGGAGGCAGCAGUGGGGAAGCUUCCGCAAUGGACGAAAGUCUAACGGAGCAACGCCGCGUGAGUGAUGACGGCCUUCGGGUUGUAAAGCUCUGUUAAUCGGGACGCGGUACCGGAAUAGAAAGCCACGGCUAACUACGUGCCAGCAGCCGCGGUAAUAC
rnacentral:rRNA from 1 species